GACGAACGCUGGCGGCGUGCUUAACACAUGCAAGUCGAACGGAAAGGCCCUGCUUUUGUGGGGUGCUCGAGUGGCGAACGGGUGUGUAACACGUGAGUAACCUGCCCUUGACUUUGGGAUAACUUCAGGAAACUGGGGCUAAUACCGGAUAGGAGCUCCUGCUGCAUGUUGGGGGUUGGAAAGUUUCGGCGGUUGGGGAUGGACUCGCGGCUUAUCGGCUUGUUGGUGGGGUAGUGGCUUACCAAGGGUUUGACGGGUAGCCGGCCUGGGAGGGGGACCGGCCACAUGGGGACUGAGAUAGGGCCCAGACUCCUACGGGAGGCAGCGGGGGGGAUGAUGGCACAAGGGGGGGAAGCCUGAUGCAGCAACGCCGCGUGCGGGAUGACGGCCUUCGGGUUGUAAACCGCUUUCGCCGGUAACGAAGCGUGAGUGACGGUAACUAGUAAAGAAGCACCGGCUAACUACGUG
rnacentral:rRNA from 1 species